rnacentral:tRNA from 1 species
GCGCAAGUGGCGGAAUUGGUAGACGCGCACGGUUCAGGUCCGUGUGCCCUUUACCGGGCAUGGGGGUUCAAGUCCCCCCUUGCGCACCA